rnacentral:rRNA from 1 species
GACGAACGCUGGCGGCGUGCGUAACACAUGCAAGUCGAACGAUGAAGCCCAGCUUGCUGGGUGGAUUAGUGGCGAACGGGUGAGUAACACGUGAGUAACCUGCCCCUGACUCUGGGAUAAGCGUUGGAAACGACGUCUAAUACUGGAUAUGACUACUGGUCGCAUGGCCUGGUGGUGGAAAGAUUUUUUGGUUGGGGAUGGACUCGCGGCCUAUCAGCUUGUUGGUGAGGUAAUGGCUCACCAAGGCGACGACGGGUAGCCGGCCUGAGAGGGGGACCGUCCACACUGGGACUGAGACACGGCCCAGACUCCUACGGGAGGCAGCAGUGGGGAAUAUUGCAAAAUGGGCGAAAGCCUGAUGCAGCAACGCCGCGUGAGGGAUGACGGCCUUCGGGUUGUAAACCUCUUUUAGUAGGGAAGAAGCGAAAGUGACGGUACCUGCAGAAAAAGCACCGGCUAACUACGUGCCAGCAGCCGCCGUAAAAC